GACAAACGCUGGCGGCGUGCCUAAUACAUGCAAGUAGAACGCUGAAGGAGGAGCUUGCUUCUCUGGAUGAGUUGCGAACGGGUGAGUAACGCGUAGGUAACCUGCCUGGUAGCGGGGGAUAACUAUUGGAAACGAUAGCUAAUACCGCAUAAGAGUAGAUGUUGCAUGACAUUUGCUUAAAAGGUGCAAUUGCAUCACUACCAGAUGGACCUGCGUUGUAUUAGCUAGUUGGUGAGGUAACGGCUCACCAAGGCAACGAUACAUAGCCGACCUGAGAGGGUGAUCGGCCACACUGGGACUGAGACACGGCCCAGACUCCUACGGGAGGCAGCAGUAGGGAAUCUUCGGCAAUGGACGGAAGUCUGACCGAGCAACGCCGCGUGAGUGAAGAAGGGUUUCGGAUCGUAAAGCUCUGUUGUAAGAGAAGAACGAGUGUGAGAGUGGAAAGUUCACACUGUGACGGUAUCUUACCAGAAAGGGACGGCUAACUACGUG
rnacentral:rRNA from 1 species